rnacentral:rRNA from 1 species
GAUUAGGUAGUAACAACCAUUUGAGUCUGGGAUUUCUGAAUGGGGAAACCCACGUGCAUAAGCACGUAUCCUUACCUGAAUACAUAGGGUAAGGAGGCGAACCGGGGGAACUGAAACAUCUAAGUACCCCGAGGAAAAGAAAUCAACCGAGAUUCCGAAAGUAGCGGCGAGCGAAAUUGGACUAGCCCUUAAGCUUUACACGCGUUAGACGAACGGUCUGGAAAGUCCGGCGAUACAGGGUGAUAGUCCCGUAGUUGACGACGUGUGUUCAGUGAAAUCGAGUAGGGCGGGACACGUGAUAUCCUGUCUGAAUAUGGGGGGACCAUCCUCCAAGGCUAAAUACUACUGACUGACCGAUAGUGAACCAGUACCGUGAGGGAAAGGCGAAAAGAACCCCUGUGAGGGGAGUGAAAUAGAACCUGAAACCGUGUACGUACAAGCAGUAGGAGCAGGCUUGUCCUGUGACUGCGUACCUUUUGUAUAAUGGGUCAGCGACUUAUAUUCAGUGGCAAGGUUAACCAUCUAGGGGAGCCGUAGGGAAACCGAGUCUUAACUGGGCGUUCAGUCUCUGGAUAUAGACCCGAAACCAGGUGAUCUAGCCAUGGGCAGGUUGAAGGUUGAGUAACAUCAACUGGAGGACCGAACCGACUAAUGUUGAAAAAUUAGCGGAUGACUUGUGGCUAGGGGUGAAAGGCCAAUCAAACCUGGAGAUAGCUGGUUCUCCCCGAAAGCUAUUUAGGUAGCGCCUCGGACGAAUACUACUGGGGGUAGAGCACUGUUAAGGCUAGGGGGUCAUCCCGACUUACCAACCCUUUGCAAACUCCGAAUACCAGUAAGUACUAUCCGGGAGACACACGGCGGGUGCUAACGUCCGUCGUGGAGAGGGAAACAACCCAGACCGCCAGCUAAGGUCCCAAAUUACUACUAAGUGGGAAACGAUGUGGGAAGGCUCAGACAGCCAGGAUGUUGGCUUAGAAGCAGCCAUCAUUUAAAGAAAGCGUAAUAGCUCACUGGUCGAGUCGGCCUGCGCGGAAGAUGUAACGGGGCUAAGUAGUAAACCGAAGCUGCGGCAAUAUACUUUUGUAUAUUGGGUAGGGGAGCGUUCUGUAAGCGGUUGAAGGUGUGUGGUAACGCAUGCUGGACGUAUCAGAAGUGCGAAUGCUGACAUGAGUAACGAUAAAGGGGGUGAAAAACCUCCUCGCCGGAAGACCAAGGGUUCCUGUCCAACGUUAAUCGGGGCAGGGUAAGUCGACCCCUAAGGCGAGGCCGAAAGGCGUAGUCGAUGGGAAACGGGUUAAUAUUCCCGUACUUCUUACAAUUGCGAUGGGGGGACGGAGAAGGCUAGGUGGGCCUGGCGACGGUUGUCCAGGUUCAAGUGCGUAGGCUUAAGAGUUAGGUAAAUCCGGCUCUUUCUAAGGCUGAGACACGACGUCGAGCACCUACGGGUGUGAAGUCAUUGAUGCCAUGCUUCCAGGAAAAGCCUCUAAGCUUCAGAUUGUAAGGAAUCGUACCCCAAACCGACACAGGUGGUCGGGUAGAGAAUACCAAGGCGCUUGAGAGAACUCGGGUGAAGGAACUAGGCAAAAUGGUACCGUAACUUCGGGAGAAGGUACGCUCUCGACGGUGAAGUCCCUCGCGGAUGGAGCUAUU